rnacentral:rRNA from 1 species
AGGGUUUGAUCCUGGCUCAGAACGAACGCUGGCGGCGUGGAUUAGGCAUGCAAGUCGAGCGAGGACGGGGGCUUCGGCCCUCGAACCGAGCGGCGAAAGGGUGAGUAAUGCAUAGGCAAUCUGCCCGAAAGUCCGGAAUAAUCGCUGGAAACGGCGACUAAUGCCAGAUGGCCCGAACCGGGGGCAUCCCUGGUUCGGUAAAGGGGGGGACCUUCGGGCCUCUCGCUUUCGGAGGAGCCUAUGUCCUAUCAGCUUGUUGGUGGGGUAACGGCCCACCAAGGCGAUGACGGGUAGCCGGACUGAGAGGUUGACCGGCCACACUGGGACUGAGACACUGCCCAGACUCCUACGGGAGGCUGCAGUCGAGAAUCAUCCGCAAUGGGCGAAAGCCUGACGGUGCGACGCCGCGUGGAGGAUGAAGGCCCUCGGGUUGUAAACUCCUGUCACGUGACGAGAAUGGUAAGGGGUCAAUAGCCUCUUGCUUGACAGCUCAUGAGAGGAAGUCACGGCUAACUCUGUGCCAGCAGCCGCGGUAAUACAGAGGUGGCUAGCGUUGUUCGGAAUCACUGGGCAUAAAGGGCGCGUAGGCGGUUUGGCAAGUCGGUUGUGAAAGCCCUCGGCUCAACCGAGGAAUUGCAUCCGAUACUGCCAGACUAGAGUGCGGGAGGGGAGAGUGGAACUCCUGGUGGAGCGGUGAAAUGCGUAGAUAUCAGGAGGAACGCCGGUGGCGAAAGCGACUCUCUGGUCCGUUACUGACGCUGAGGCGCGAAAGCCAGGGGAGCGAACGGGAUUAGAUACCCCGGUAGUCCUGGCCCUAAACGAUGAGCACUAGGUAGUGGGGGGUCCGAUCUCUUCACUGCCGGAGCAAAUGUGUUAAGUGCUCCGCCUGGGGAGUACAGUCGCAAGGCCGAAACUCAAAGGAAUUGACGGGGGCUCACACAAGCGGUGGAGGAUGUUGCUUAAUUCGAAGCAACGCGAAGAACCUUACCUGGGCCUGACAUGUAGGUGGUACGGACCCGAAAGGGCGAGGACCUGGUUUACCAGGAGCCUACACAGGUGUUGCAUGGCUGUCGUCAGCUCGUGUCGUGAGAUGUUGGGUUAAGUCCCGUAACGAGCGAAACCCUUAUCGUUAGUUGCCAGCGGGUCAUGCCGGGGACUCUAGCGAGACUGCCGGUGUCAAACCGGAGGAAGGUGGGGACGACGUCAAGUCAUCAUGGCCCUUAUGCCCAGGGCUGCAAACGUCCUACGAUGGUCGGUACAAAGGGAAGCAAGACCGCAAGGUGGAGCGAAUCCCAUAAAGCCGGCCCCAGUUCGGAUUGUGGGCUGCAAUUCGCCCGCAUGAAGCCGGAAUCGCUAGUAAUCGCGGAUCAGCACGCCGCGGUGAAUAUGUUCCUGAGCCUUGUACACACCGCGU